CCUACGGGUGGCAGCAGUGGGGAAUAUUGCGCAAUGGGCGAAAGCCUGACGCAGCGACGCCGCGUGAGGGAUGAAGGUCUUCGGAUCGUAAACCUCUGUCAGCAGGGAAGAACGGUCACUGUGCUAAUCAGCAGUGAAUUGACGGUACCGGCAAAGGAAGCACCGGCUAACUCCGAGCCAGCAGCCGCGGUAACACGGAGGGAGCGAGCGUUAAUCGGAAUUACUGGGCGGAAAGCGCUCGUAGGCGGUAUGUCAAGUCAAGGGUGAAAUCCCCGCGCUCAACGUGGGAACUGCCUUUGAAACUGGCAACCUGGAUUGUGUGAGAUGCUAGUGGAAUUCCUGGUGU
rnacentral:rRNA from 1 species